UAUGACAUGCUGAUUUUGUAUCCGUUUUGGGUUCUCUGUCUGCAUAAUCUCUCAGUUGUUUCAAAAGCUAGAAAUGCAUUUUCAGAUUAAUGUUGGAUUGUGCUGCAAAAGCUUACUUUCCUUGCACUUCUCUUGGAAGGCCCUAGGAAAUCCAGUAUCCUAUGUCUUUUCCAGUUACUUAAAGAACCAUAAUGCAACCUGCAGCAAAUCCUGCAAUGACCAAUCAUCAGCCAUGUGACAGAACCAAAACAAUAUAGCAAGCCAUGGAAAUGCAUGAAUCCAUUCCAUAUCCUGUCACUAGAAUUCUGCAUCAAAUAAGUCAUCACAUAAGAAAGAAGAAAACGAAAAUAUGUGAUAAUUCCAAGAAAGAAACAGACAGGAAGUAAAAAAAGGUAGACAACCACCUUAUAUGCUUUCUUUGCAACUGAAUAUGAGCACUUGAAUUUUGCAAAUAUUCUUGCUGCAGCCAAUUUUAUAGGCAAGGAUGCUGCGGUUGAAUUCGUAAUGUUAAAC
rnacentral:lncRNA from 1 species